rfam:Heterocephalus glaber contig66734, whole genome shotgun sequence.
GGGGAUGUGGCUCAAUGGUAGAGCAAUUGCCUAGCAUGCUUUAGGCCCUGGGUUCAAUCCCCAGCACUACAA